GGAGGCUUGAAUGGAUAAUCAGGAGGGAAGUGUAUGGAUACCAAGAAAAUACCACCAGCAUAAGGGCUGUCUGCUGGACCCAUAAUAGUUGCUUGCCAAUGAAAUAUGUCAUCUCCAGCAGGACCUGCACUGCAGGAGACUGGAGGGUCCUUCUGCAAGUCCUUCAAUUCCUUGUUAAUUCGUUUUGAAGCCAUCCCAAAUCCUCUAAAAGUUCAGAAAAAAUAAACUUCUGGUUAGGGUUUGAUAGAUGAAGAGAGGAAGAGAUUGCG
rnacentral:misc_RNA from 1 species